rnacentral:rRNA from 1 species
UACGUAGGUGGCAAGCGUUUGUCCGGAUUUAUUGGGUUUAAAGGGUGCGUAGGCGGUCUUUUAAGUCAGUGCUGAAAUACUCCAGCUUAACUGGAGGGUGGCAUUGAUACUGGGAGACUUGAGUGUAGUCGAGGUAGGCGGAAUUGACGGUGUAGCGGUGAAAUGCUUAGAUAUCGUCAAGAACACCGAUAGUGAAGACAGCUUACUAGGCUACAACUGACGCUGAGGCACGAAAAGUGUGGGGGAUCAAAACAGG